GCAGUCGAGGGGUACAUUGUAGCUUGCUACAGAUGACGACCGGCGCACGGGUGCGUAACGCGUAUAGAACCCACCUUUUACAGGAGAAUAGCCCAGAGAAAUUUGGAUUAAUGCUCCAUAGUAUUGUUGAAUGGCAUCAUUUAAUAAUUAAACAUUUAUGGGUAAAAGAUGGCUAUGCGUUCUAUUAGCUAGAUGGUAAGGUAACGGCUUACCAUGGCAACGAUAGAUAGGGGUCCUGAGAGGGAGACCCCCCACACUGGUACUGAGACACGGACCAGACUCCUACGGGAGGCAGCAGUGAGGAAUAUUGGACAAUGGAGGCAACUCUGAUCCAGCCAUGCCGCGUGCAGGAAGAAGGUCCUAUGGAUUGUAAACUGCUUUUAUAUAGGAAGAAACCUUUCCACGUGUGGAAAGCUGACGGUACUAUAAGAAUAAGCACCGGCUAACUCCGUGCCAGCAGCCGCGGUAAUACGGAGGGUGCAAGCGUUAUCCGGAAUCAUUGGGUUUAAAGGGUCCGUAGGCGGACUAAUAAGUCAGGGGUGAAAUCCAACAGCUUAACUGUUGAACUGCCCUUGAUACUGUUAGUCUUGAAUUAUAUGGAAGUAGAUAGAAUGUGUAGUGUAGCGGUGAAAUGCUUAGAGAUUACACAGAAUACCGAUUGCGAAGGCAGUCUACUACGUAUAUAUUGACGCUAAUGGACGAAAGCGUGGGGAGCGAACAGGAUUA
rnacentral:rRNA from 1 species